UCCUACGGGAGGCAGCAGUGGGGAAUUUUGGACAAUGGGCGAAAGCCUGAUCCAGCAAUGCCGCGUGUGUGAAGAAGGCCUUCGGGUUGUAAAGCACUUUUGUCCGGAAAGAAAUCCUUGGCUCUAAUACAGUCGGGGGAUGACGGUACCGGAAGAAUAAGCACCGGCUAACUACGUGCCAGCAGCCGCGGUAAUACGUAGGGUGCGAGCGUUAAUCGGAAUUACUGGGCGUAAAGCGUGCGCAGGCGGUUUGCUAAGACCGAUGUGAAAUCCCCGGGCUCAACCUGGGAACUGCAUUGGUGACUGGCAGGCUAGAGUAUGGCAGAGGGGGGUAGAAUUCCACGUGUAGCAGUNAANUGNNNAGAGAUGUGGAGGAAUACCGAUGGCGAAGGCAGCCCCCUGGGCCAAUACUGACGCUCAUGCACG
rnacentral:rRNA from 1 species